UUGAGAGGUCAGACCUAAAUCAAAAUCUGAUCUACCAAAACCGCAACCCCCACUCUGCGUCGUCCACCACCGUUUCCAAUCCAUGUCUCUCUUCUCCUUUGGCUCGCCUGCUUCUCGGCCUCUACCUCUCUUACUUUCAUUUCUCACUCCUGAAACCGUAAGCUAACACCUCAAACCAGCCAACCCAAAAUCUGAAUGCAAACCUUUCUUCGUCGGCUCUCUUCGUGGGUAUGGGUUUUAAUUGGAACAAGAUUGAAAAGUAUCUCUUCUGUAACUCUAGCUUCCAGAUUUCAUUUUGUCUUAUUUUUCCCCCUUAUAUAUGCUAUAUUAGGUGUAAAUUAAUUGUAGAUUAGUUGUAAAAACUUUGUCUUGAGAGAUCUAGGUACUGCGCUCGUGGCUUCCUUCAAUGGUUUCUUAAUAGGUUAGUGGAAUGAUGACCCAAUCAAGAACAAAUUAGGUUGCUUUCUUCUUCUUCUUCUUCUUUUUUGGUUAAAGGCAUAGUUAGCGAUACAUGAUGUUGCCAUAGAUUUGAUUCUUUAAUUUCAUUGUGAUAUUAUUCAUAUCAUAUGUCCUCUAUGUUACCACUUAGUAAACAACAUUGAAAAAUCAGUUCCCAUUUUAUUUUUGUUUGAAGCAAGUCAAAAUUCUUGAAAUCUGAAUCAAAACAAUAAUUUUGGUAGUUGGUUAUUUUUUAUUGUAUGGUUGACGAGUAAAUUUUGAAUCUUUUCUCUUCUUUUUCUUGUGUACGAGAUUAGUCUUUUUAUCUUCUCAAUGAUUGGAACUCAGAAGCAUAAAGAUUUGGAACACUUAACAUACUUUGAUUUAUUGCUAAAGUUGAAUGAUUCGUUCAGAUUUCAGUCUCUUUAUGGCGUGUAAGUGAAAAUCAAAAUGUCGUACUUCAGAGAACAUGAUCUCUAAACUUCAUGGCAUAUCAAACAGGAACUGCAUAACAGAUCAUUAAUAUUGAAGGCUUGAAGGUACAAUAUUGAAACAUUGCUCAUAUUUGCAUGAGAGGUUAGUUGAUAACACAUUGAUAUUGUGGACAAUAUAUAUAAUAUCCUCUGCUGGAAGUUAUACACCAUCUUGAUAUGCUAAAUGUUUCUGACCAGAACAGUCUAUUACAUCCAAGCCCAAGUCAAGGUAUCUUGCAGUUGGAUUUUAGGUCAACUUGCAUCCUUUAUUGCAAUUGCCAUUUCAAAUUGAGUAACAAGUUUUGUGUAUCUAUCCUCUUUAAAGCUUUCAUUUAUAUACAUGUUUGUUUGCUUUUUUUUUUCUCUCAAGUUUACAUUGUAUAUUUUGAUAUUUUUUGUAAUGUUUAUGACUACAUAAAGUAGGUAGUAAAAAGAAAAAAGAAAUAUGCUCUUCUACUCUAUUUAAUUGUUGUUUUUUUUUUGUGGCAGAUCACAUGCUCUACUUAAAGAUUUUAUAACAGGACGGAUGUGGUAUCAUUGCCGCAUGGUCUAUUUGCUAGUGUCUUACUUCUAUGGAAAGCAGUUUGUUGGUCCAGUCACACCUAACAGUUUUGUCUUUGAGAAAGGAGCUUUUUAAUAUCCCCCAUCAUGAAAUAGAUUGGAACCAGGCGCGGAAUGAGUGUGCAAAAGGCCAUGGCUCCCCGGUCUAACAACAUAGCCAAAGUUAAAGCAUUAGCACUAAGGAUGAAGGCACUGCAAAUGAAAAAAGAGGUAAAAAAAAUAGUGCCGAAACCAGCUGUUGAAGAGACUGAUGCACCACCUAAAUAUGCCUUCACCAAACAUGAUCAAUAGUAUGAGAUAUCAAUGUUUUUUGGGUUCCAUUUGUCGAUCAUGCCGACUGCUAUGGGUUAUUGAACUGAUGUUUACUAAGUUUACCUCCAUUAUGGAUGUAUGUAUAGCUGCAGUAACAGAUUAAUCAAAUAUUGGUAUUUUUAUGAAUGGAUUCCAUAUUUGAUAAAUGUAUUGGGUAGUUU